CCUCCCUCUGCAACAGAGCUGGCUGCCCCAGCCUGUGAUUUGUGUUUACACAGGCUCCACAAUGAGGUGUGGCACUUAAUGAAAGGGCUCUGUCACUUACCCAGUGAAACAGGGAGUCUGAAGGCCAAAGAACUGGUUACUUCUUGUACGUGAGGCAGGACGAUCUGAGCUCCGGCCCGGACGGAGGGCGAGCACUCGGCUCCCUUCAGUUCAGCACAGAGGAGCAGACCUGCUGCUGAGCUGCCGUGCAGCACGAGCUGGGGGAGCGGGAAAUCAUGACCCACAGGCUUGUCUUCAGAGAGCCUGUUGAGGGUGGCAUGUGAUGGGCACCUGAGCACCCAGAUACAGUUGAGGUGCAUAAAGAGAAGGAGUAUGAUGUGCAAGGCACACACCUGUACUCAGCUGAGUGCCACAAUACACAGAAGCCCGAAAUAGCUGUCGGAAGCCGGUGGCGGCUGCACUGCUGCUCCUAAUAUACACUUCCUUGCACCUGUGUCCUGAGCCCUUUGCCGAGUGACUUGGCUGUGCCCCUGGUGAGAAGAGUGCAGCAGACAGGAUCACAUGCCUCCAACGUGGGAAGGGGAACACGUCGACCCUAGGCAAGCAGAGGGCCUUAGCAUGCUGACUCUGCAGGCUCAUCCUGGGGCCUGCCUGAGCAGCCGUGUGGGCACCGGGACUGCAGUCCUUUCCCCUGCCUGCCCCAGCCCCACCAUCUCUUGCCUGGAGGUCAUUUGGCCACCCUCUUAGUGUCAAAGGCAGAAGCUAUGAGAAAGAAGGAUAGGAGAGGGAUGCGGACCAGUUUUCAAAUCCGGCAGGAGGAGCAAGGUCCUGGGGAGCAUGUGGUGGAAGGACUUUAAGGAAACUACAUCAUCAUUACGAAGACUGGGGAGCAACAGCGUCAUGGGCACCGCUCUGCUCUGCAUGAAGGAGUCCGACAGCUGCCAGCGGGGAGCUUUGGUGGUGCCAAAUCCCCUGGAGAGAGGAGGCUGCAGCCCCAGGCAGCAGGGAGCCCUGGAGGAAGCUGCCUCUGCAGACUCGCGGGAAUGCCAGCUCCGGGUUUCAUUCCUUUGUUCACUGCUGCUUCCCAAGUGCCAGACGGAGCCUGGAACUCAGUGGCUGCUCUAAAGAUACUGUUGAAUGAGUAAAUGAACGGAAUUGCACAGGAGCGAGGCCACAGUUCUACAGCUGAGCUGCCUGUCACGGCCCUCACCCAACCACCACUGCUGGAAAUGUGCAGACAGGGUGUGCCUCUCCCGUUUAAGGGAAAUGUAUUGAGAUAUCAUUCACAUACAUGGCACGUGCUCAGGGAGCCCCCCAGGAUGACAGAGCUCACCCAUCACCCCACAGAACGUCUCUGCCCCAUCCAGGCAGGCCCCAGAGUACACUGGGUCUGGCUUCUUUAGUCAGAGGUGGUUUGAGUGAGUCUAGAGACUUCAUAGAAUCUGGGUCACAGAGCAGGCACCCUUUUCCAUCUGGUGUCUUCCACUCAGCGUAGCGGUCCCGAGAUCCAGCGUGUCUCUGCUAGGAUCAGCGGUUUGCUCCUUGGUGUUGCUGAGGAAAAUUCUACUGCAUGGAACACCACCAUCUAUCCACACUGGAUAGACACCAGAUGAGUGCUUCCGCCUGCUGUGAAUGAAGCUCCUAUGAACAGUCUCAUAUUAGGUAUGAAAGGAAAAUAAAUCAAUCACUAAACAAAGGGGAAAGUCAAGCUGGGAGCUGCCUCCCAUCCUAUUCCUAAAUAAGAUAGCUACAAAGAUAAAAACGCUGUUCCUCCCUCACAAUUUGCUCACAAGGAACUUCCUUGUGGAACAAGGACAGACAGAACUCAAUCAUCCCUCCGCUCACAUGAGACAAACACAGAUCGGAAUGCUUCCUCCGCCCUGUUGUUUCACCCAGCCAGACUAAGGCAUACGUAACUAUUCCAGUAAAUUGUGCAUUCGGUGAAAGGCUAAUCAGAAACUUAAAAGAAUGCAGCCAUUUGUCUCUUAUCUACCUACAACCUGGAAGCCCCCUGCGCGCUUUGACUUGUCCUGUCUUUCCAGAUAGAACCAAUGUACAUCAUACAUAUAAUGAUUGAUGUCUCAUGUCUCCCUAAAAUGUAUAAAACCAAGCUGUUCCCCGACCACCAUCACCAGGACCUCCUGAGGCUGUGUCACGGCACGUCCUCAACCUUGGCAAAAUAACUUUCUAAAUUUAUUGAGACUUGUCUCAGAUACUUUUUGGUUUACAAAGGUGUUUGUGGACAUGUAUAUUCAUUUCUCAUAGAUAAGUACCUAGAAGUUGAAUUGCUUAGACAUGAGUAAAUGUAUGUUUAACUUUUUCAGAAACUCCCGAACAUAUUUCCAAACUAUACCGUUUUACACUCUGUCAGCAGAAUUUAAAAGUUUCCACUGAACCACAUCCUUGUCAACGUUUGGUAUUGUCAAUAUGUUUAAGUUAUUGAUAUUGUUCUAGUGAAUGUGUAGAGACAUCUCGUUUUGGUUUUAAUUUGCAUUUUCCUAAUGAGGAAUAAUACUGAGAAAUUUUUUCUUUCAUAUUGUCAUAUAUGUGUCUUCUUUCUUAAAGUGCCUAGUCAAAUAUUUUGCUCAUUUUUUAUUGCUUUUUAUUAUAAACUGUGUUUUUUUAAAUAUUAUCUUAACACACGUCUUUUGGCUGAUAUAAUAUUGUAAAUAUUUUCUCCCAUUCUGUGGUCUACUUAUUGUUUCCUAAUGCUGUCUUUUGAAGAGCAAAAUAUUUUUCUCCAUUUAUGGAGACAAGAUGGUCAACUUAGCUAUUCCAAAAUGUUUUUAAAAUUCUAGUUUGUUUUAAAACAACCACAGCAAACUGCAUGGAUUUGUUCCACAUCUUUGAAAGAAAAACAUUAUUUUAUUUAUUUCACAGUGGAAGAUAAGUCAGUAAGGCCCCACUUCGGCAGGUUUUGUUUUCGUUUCCUCAUGCCUCUGCAAUGCUCGGAGUCACCCACGCCUUACUCACUGCGGCUGGAACGAACCCAGACUCCUCACUCCUCCCACAGCCUCUGGCGCAGGGCGCUCCUUGCUUGAAAGAAACGUUUGCGAUUUUUAGUGGAAACGUCCGUGUUUUCUUGGUAACUGGUAAAUGGCUGUAGAUUACUGACACGCGGUCCUUUGUACGUAACAGAAGGCUUUGAGUGUUUCUGUGAGGAUCACCCUGUGAAGAAACGGCUGCAGUGAGAGCAGCCGAGGCGGGACGCAGCCCCGGACGUGGGGUCAGAGAGGAGCCCUUGCUUUGUUAUCCGGAGGGUAGCCACGGUUUUAGCUCACAGUGAUGUCAACUUGAAGCUUCUCUCCACAAGCAGCUGUGACCUCAGCUGCCGUGCAGUCAGCUUCCCCGGCCUCCCUCCCCAGCCUCCCUGGUCUCCCAGGCACAAGGCUGGGCACUGGCUUCAGAGUGGCUGCAAGGGCACGGCCCCCAGGCCUAGGGCUGAUCAGCGUGAACAGUACCCAGCACACUUGCUUCAAAAAGUAAGAAGAUAUAGAACACAAGCUGCUUGUUCUCAUGACUAUAGCACAAACUAUAAAACAAAACAUCUUCCUCCAGAACACGGCAAGCUGGAUGGACAGUGAUCUGGACAAAAAUUUGCUGUAGGUUUUGUAACUGGGGUUCAGUGAGGACCAGGCUCCCCAGAGCAUACAUGUGGAGACAAUUAAGUUGAUCCCAUUUUCCAAGACUCAGAGGAGAUGUAUUUAUAUUAGGAAUAUAAACUUGCUAUUAAUGCAACUUCAGAAUGUCCAGGUCAUCCGUUGGGAAAAAAAAAAGAGUAAGUCUAGGGCUGGUUCGUGCUGUUGCUACAUGGAGGGAAUCCACAUCCAAGCCUGCCGCUCACAUGCUGGGACACAUUGCCUCAGCCUCCAUCUCUGGGAGUCCCACGCUUUCUCUCCUGGGUUGUCCCACUAUUCCUUUUGAAGUCCUCAUGUUAGUGACAGUUCAAUUUUCUCUUCACCUUCAAAAUUGCAGAGAACCUAAUUUCUACUGACCAGUCAAGCUUGUUUCAUUUAUCUUCCAUGUUAACUUCAAUUAAAAUGUUAACCAUCUGGAAUCUUUGGCCUCUUAUGUGACAAAAAUAGGCAUUAAAUUGUAUCAUUUCUUAAAUUCUCUGUUGAAAAGUCCAAAUACGUUACUGAAUAUGAUACAGAUUAGUAAGAAUUUGGGCUCAUUAAAUGUAAGAUAAUUUCAUAGCUUAAGGUAAUUUCACACCCCAAGGGACUUAUAACCUAAACACAAAGCAGAUCACCAACAUUAACUGUCAGCUGUCCACUGGAGAACUAUCUCAGACAAAAAAAUAAAAUUUGGAUUAGCUCUCCAUGGUGCACAAUACUUUCAUGAACCAUCUCUUUUGGGUUGGCAGCUGCAGUGUGUUCUGAGAGUAUGUUAAUGCUACAAUAACAGUAAAAAUAAAAUUAAGUUGGGAACAUACAGAAAAAAAGAAAUUGAUUACAUUAUUCCUAAUGACGACCUGAAUCAAAGUUGGCACUAAAUAAAUUUUUGUCAGAAAGGAGAAAAGAAAUGAGAGAAAUAAAAGAGAGGAGGCAGGAUUUUAUAUUCUGCUCCCUUUUUGGAAAA
rnacentral:lncRNA from 1 species